rnacentral:rRNA from 1 species
CAGCCGCCGCGGGAAUACGGAGGGGGCUAGCGUUGUUCGGAAUUACUGGGCGUAAAGCGCACGUAGGCGGCUUGGUAAGUUAGAGGUGAAAGCCUGGAGCUCAACUCCAGAAUUGCCUUUAAGACUGCCGAGCUAGCAGGUGAGAGAGGUAAGUGGAAUUCCGAGUGUAGAGGUGAAAUUCGUAGAUAUUCGGAAGAACACCAGUGGCGAAGGCGGCUUACUGGCUCAUACUGGACGCUGAGGUGCGAAAGCGUGGGGAGCAAACAGGAUUAGAUACCCGAGUAGUCCCUGUCUCUUAUAA